GCCAACGGCCAUGCCAUGUUCAUAACACCGGUUCUAGUCCGAUCACCGAAAUUAAGUGACAUUGGGCGGGGUUAGUACUUCGAUGGGUGACCGCUUGGGAACACCACGUGCCGUUGGCA